GAGUUUCAAAGGAUUGUUAGCACAUAUACUAAAAUUGGAACAAUACAGAGAAGAUUAGUAUAGCCCCUGUGCAAAGAUGACACACAAAUUCAGGAAGCAGUCCAUUAAAAA